CUUCCGUCCAUUUGCAUCGAAAAAUAUUGAGAAAUUGCAAACGAAUAUCAAUGGAUACGAGCUAUCUAAUUAUAAAUAUCCUCUUAAUUGCAACAUUUCUUUAUAAAAAUGACUCUAUUGAACUUCGAUACUCAGAUUAUGAAGAUUCAUUUCAACUUCUUUCACAUUUCCGUCGAUUUCAAGCUUAAAAAAAGGUCAAACAGCUACUUUGGUUCAAAAACCAUACUUCGUCGCAUUAUCUGGCAGAGCCUCCCCAACUUCACUUCAAUCUUCCCAUCACACCGCGCGAGCCCAUUUUUAUUCAGGAAACUUCAUGUAAGUUAUUUGUAAAUACUUAAGGAGGCUCUGCGGAGGAAAGAGGGCAAUGACUAAAACCCGUGAGGAAUCAGUUGAAAGAAAGAGUUAAACAGCAGGGGUAUACAUACAUAUAUACUUAAGGGCUGAUUACAUGGAGAGUUUUCAGCCCGGACUGAGUUUCAGCCCGGUUAAACGAGCUGAAAUUGCAUCACGACUACAUGAGCAAUUUCAACCCGGGCUGAGUUUAGUCAGAGCUAUAUUUAUAAUCAACGUUAACCUGGGCUGAAAUGUCAGCCCGGGCUGAAAUAAUCUGAGUGUCACGAAAUAGGACAAUAAGCCUGUUACGCUUCUUUGAAUCAAUCAGACGCUGAUUAGUCGACUAUUUGACUUGUG